rnacentral:rRNA from 1 species
UACAUAGGUCCCAAGCGUUGUUCGGAUUCACUGGGCGUAAAGGGUGCGUAGGUGGUGAGGUAAGUUUGAUGUGAAAUCUCCGGGCUCAACCCGGAAAUGGCAUUGAAUACUAUCUUGCUAGAGGAGUGGAGGGGGGACUGGAAUACUUGGUGUAGCAGUGAAAUGCGUAGAUAUCAAGUGGAACACCAGUGGCGAAGGCGAGUCCCUGGACACUUCCUGACACUGAGGCACGAAAGCUAGGGGAGCAAACAGG